UAUUAUUUAUGGGGGAGCCUGUAUGUAAUCAGGCUGAGAAAAGAAUGGCAUUUCUUGACCCUUAGAACCUGAACUGGUUAAUACCAGCGGAGGGAAAUGUAAAUGCUAUCGAA
rnacentral:ncRNA from 2 species